rnacentral:lncRNA from 1 species
UUUUUUGCUUCUCCAACCAUGUUUGUGUCCUUGAUCAUGGAGGAAUCGCCCUCUCUGGUGGUGCUUCUCUGGGGUUAAAUUUAGUACUUUCUCAGUGGUAUUGCAGUGUAAUUCUUCUGUGUGUUUUAAGUGGAAUUUACAGUGUACUUUUAGUGGAAUUACAGUGCAUUUUCAGUGGGCUUACACUGUAAUUAUUAGUGGAAUUACAGUGGAAUUUACACUGUAAAUCUGUGGGUUUACAGUGUACGUUUAGUGGAUUUUUGCCUUGUAUUUGCAAGUGGCAUUUUAAGUGGAAUUACAGUGUAUUUUUAGUGAAAUUACUGUGCACUUUCCAUGGUAUUUACACUGUAAUUAUUAGUGGAAUUUACACUGUAAGUCUUAGUGGAUUUACAGUGUACUUUUAGUGGAUUUUUGCUCUGUAUUUUGCAAGUGGAAUUACAGUGUAUUUUUAAUGGAAUUACCGUGCAUUUUCC